rnacentral:snRNA from 1 species
GGGUGUGAGGUCGGUCCGGCUGCAGCACCUGUCACCCUGUUGCGAGCUAAGGUUGGUUGGCUGUUGUGGCUCACUAGUCUGAUGUCCCCUUCCUGCUACACUGCUGCAUGCUAGAGAGGACAGUCUUCCUCAAACAGGGGAGGACUGAUCUUCCAUCAGGGGCAUAGCUGCACUCCCCUGCUAGAACUGCCUAACAAGCUCUCAGGAAUGCAAGUAGUUCAAGAUGGACUAUCUAUCUAGACACCCUUGUUAAAUAAGGCUUUAGCUGUCGAGUUAACUGGUCCUUAUU